rnacentral:lncRNA from 1 species
GGCCGAGGGGACCUUGCCCCGCGUCCGUCGGCCUCUCCCGCGGCGUGAGGCGGGGUCGGCAGCCCUUCGACCACGGGUCCCGGGACCGCGGCAGGUCCGCCCAGGGGUUCAGCCAUUUUCUCUUGAGGUCUGUUUAGGCCGCGGCGGGGAAGGGACGAGGCCCCUGCGACCUCCGGCGCUCUCUUCCCGCUCCCCCUCCCGAGGCCCUCCUCUCGCUCUUCCUUUGAAGAAUGCGGCUCCGUCUGGAACCCGCGUCCAGGCCCUCCCAGCCCGCGCCGCCCCUCGCAAACCCGGUCCGCGCCCCGCACGCCAAAUACUGGCCGCGGCGCCUGCUCCCAGGCUGGCCCUCGAGCCGCCCGGAGCCCGGGAAAGCGGGGCGCCCGCGUGACCCCUGACCUGGCCCGCUCCCCACCUUACCGGCUCCGCAACCACCUGACAAUCCGUCCCGGCUCCAGCGGCUCCAUAUCCCUGGAGCCAGCGCCACGCCAGCCUACCCCCUACACGCCCUGCGGCUGACCCACAGGGUCGCAGCCGCACAUUCCUUUGGGUUGGAUUCUUCAUAUUCGCCGUGGGGCAUAUAAGCCACGCGCGUGGCAGGCUGACUACGGAUCCCGAGUCUCCGCCCACUCCAGGCUGACUGGGGGCGGGGCCACGGAGGGCUAGGCGGGAGCUGUCUGCGGCUGAGCUAGUGCUGGAGCUCGUCCCACCCACGCUGUGUUGUGGAGUCUCCCACCCAGCUAGCAACCUGCGGACGAGUACGUUUCCUGCUGUAGUUCGCCGUGGCCUCGUUAGGCCCUGGAAGACAAGAUCAUUGCUUCUGAGACACGGCUCUAUGAGAGUUCCAGCUCCACCUCCCGCCCCCAGAGCCACAUCAUAGUAUCUGCUGCCCCACCAAGAGCACCCCACAGCUGGGAGGAACCGCGAAGCAUCAGCUAGCGCAGCCAGUUCGACUGCAUCAGAUGCCCUACUCCCAAGUCUCGGCAUUGAAUUGUUUUCCUCUCUCCUACUCAGCUGCCUCGCUUCUUCUCCCAAACUUUAUUUUCCACCUACCCAAAAGCAGUCCCGCUCCAUUCCCAGUUUCAAUCGCACAUCCCAGAGUCUUCUCUGAAGAUGACGACCAGGCUAGUGGUGCUUCAGAAAGGAGAAAAUAGUUUGACUAACCACCCUAAUUUUCUACAAUGUCCUUUACAGCUGCCAGAAACAUUCUUAGACCCCUCUCUCUCCCGGCCCCCACAUUGCCCCCAUAACCGCUCUCCUUAAAGGUAACCAAGCUUAUCUAACCAAGUCAUAGACCUAGAGAAGAAAAGCAUAAAACCUUCCAACAUCUUUCUUCGUGUAAAAACUGCUAGGAGAAAUUUUUAUUAGUUGAUAAAAGAGUCCAAGAGAAGAGAAAAGGAGAGUAAACUGCAAGAAGGAAAAUCCAAAUUCAGGGACCAAAAAAAACUGAUCUGAGCAUCAUCAGUGAUCCGAUACAGGCUGGUUUCCAUACCGAAUUUCUCCUAGGGAGAAAAGAAAAUGUGCAAAUUAGUUCUGAAAAUCUCUCUGCAACACGUAUGGGGUGUUUCAGAAAGGCUUGAUGAAGUCCCUCCAGAACAGAACCUUUCCUUUGGGAACUUCUACUGCAACUAGAAAAUAAAAUGGCUGGAGCCUCCUUGUCGUGUUCAGGGUCUGCUCUGGUGGGUAGAUUCCCUGGGCUAUUAUAUGCUUAUUGCUGGCUACUUACUUAGCUCACACUGUGGGGCUGCCUCCUCCUUAAGCUGUUUCUUCAUUGUGCAGGCUCGGUCUGACUCCCAGCGCUGCUCCUGUCUCUUGCCUCUAUAUAUGGAGACAAGUGCGCCUCCCCUUGGUUAGACAGGCCCCUUACCUUACUCUGGGCAACACAUUGUUAAAGACACUGCAGGGAAUUUCGAGAAGCAAACCACACCCUUCAAAGCAUAAUCAAAUUUCAUCUUUGACCUGCCAUGAAAAGGAAAGCAUCACAUAUCUGCCACUCCUGGACAUUAAGGAACAAUUAAUUGCAUGUGAAAACUUUAAUUCUAAGAUUUCAUCU